rnacentral:ncRNA from 1 species
UUGAGCCGUAUGCGGUGAAAGUCGCACGUACGGUUCUUAGGAGGGGAAAGCCCGCGAGGGCCUACCUAUUCCAAC